AGGCUGCAACUCGCCUGCAUGAAGUUGGAAUUGCUAGUAAUCGCGAAUCAGAAUGUCGCGGUGAAUACGUUCCCGGGCCUUGUACACACCGCCCGUCACACCAUGAGAGUCGAUAACACCCGAAGCCUGUGAGCUAACCGUAAGGAGGCAGCAGUCGAAGGUGGGGUUGAUGACUGGGGUGAAGUCGUAACAAGGUAGC
rnacentral:rRNA from 1 species